CCGCAGCGGCUAGAGGUUCCAUUGCAGACCCGGAGGCCGUGGCUGUGGUUCGCGGCGGUGCUGUCGCGGGCGCCCUGGCGCAGCCCACGCAGGGGCUCCUGAGGGGAGACAUAAGACAUCAGUCAGUACAUGUGAGGUGUGCAUUGGAUUGAUCCAGAAAGUCAGGACGACUCCAAGUGGAAAGGCCUCCAGAGACAGGAGACAGUAAAAGAAAUGGCCUCUCUCCUCUGUCAGAGUGGAGUCCCGAGCUCCCAGAAAUGCCACAUGAUGGACAAACGCUUGGGGGAAAAAAAAAAAAAAGGAGACCUCAGUCGGACACAAAAGCAGGAGCUUUAAAAGAAAAAAUAAGAGAUAAGUUGAACUUCACCAAAAAAUAAGCGUUUCUGGUCUUUGAAAGACACUUAAAAUGAAAAGGCAAGCCAUCGAUGGGGAAAAUACUCAGAAUAAUGGAUCUGACAGAGGGCUGUAUCUAGAAUAUAUGAAGAUAUUUUAAAAUCCAGUAAUUUGACAUAAAGAUGGUAGCCAGCCUGACACACAAAGGAACCCGAAUGGCCAAUGGACAGGAAGGGAACCCGUAUGGCCGAUGGACAGAAAGGGAAGUGAACGUGAACAUCUCAUUGGGGAUGCCGUUAUCACCACUGGAAUAGUCAAAAACAUGGACACCAAGUAUUGGUGGGUGAGUGGAAUGGCGGGAACCCACAUACACGGUCGAUGGGAGCUGCACCCUUUGGAAAUCAUUUCACAGUUUGUGCUCCAUCCUGGCCAAACCCACAGCUGGAGUCUUUCCAAAAACAGUGACGGGAGUUUCCACCAGGGAGUGCCUCAAACCAUCCCGAGAUGGGGCUGGUUGGGAUUCCAGGGAGAGGCACUCGUUGCCAGGGUGAUCCGUCCAGAGCACUUCCUAGGGGAUCUGGCAUAAGGAGGGCUGCAGUGUAUCCUCAGGACAGAUAGGACAGAUAGUGUAUCUUUGGGACAGACGGCAAGAUGGGGAUUCCACCCAGGUCUGUCUGCAGCGAGUUGAUAUGAGAGUUUAAGGAAUUUGGACCAGGGCUGCUUUGUUUCAGGGUUUUGGGCAAUGACCUAAACACCUUUAUCAGUGCCUGGGAAUGCUCAAGGCCCAGCUUGAGUUCAGGCCUGCAGGGAAAACCUGCAACUGGCCGGGCUGCAGAGUGGUCAGGGCACGGAAAGCCAGAAGCUGGGGACACACCUGCUGUAUGAUCCAGCCGUUCGUCUUUACCUGGGAGAAAUGGCACCACCUGGCUGAACAUAACUUCUUACACUCCCAUGAGUCCUCCUGGACAGGUGCUGUGACCUCGUGCAGCCUUGGGGACCCUGACACUCCCACGGACAGGCCAAGGGGUUUGCCUGGGCCCUGUGGGCACAGAGCCCCUUGAGAUGGGUUUCCCUAUGCAGCCCCCCACCCCCCACCGGGGACCCAUGGCACUGCAGCCCUCACCCCC
rnacentral:lncRNA from 10 species